AUGGACACAGAAAAACAACUUCUCACGGAAUCCAGACGAGGGAGUUUUAUCGACGAACUCACUGAAAAAUGUAUUAUCGCCCAAACAAGAAACGGGACGUUGGUGUCUAAAGAAGCAGAAGCAAAGGAACAGUCUCAUCCUGCAGGUGGUGUGACUGAAAACAAUCAUGUUUUACCCUUAUGGCAUUCCCACCUCGACGUCAACAGCAGUAAACUAUCGCACAAGGGUCAGCAACAAGCAGAACAUGGAUAUGAAUGGAUAGAAAUGGGAGUGAGAGCAGACGAAAGAAGGGGGCAAAGAGUGGGGAACCACAGUGCACAAUCGGCCCCCGAUCUGGAUUGUGUAAGUCACGGUAUUGCAGCUGAUCCAUCACGAAACAAUACUACUGGACCACACGAUACGAUCUUGUAUCCAGAUGUUGACUAUCCAACGGAGGAGGAAAGUACCCCAGACCUUCCUGCUCAACUAGCAAUACUCAGGGGGGAGUCUGCGUUUAUAGGACUGACACAAGGGAGAAGAAUGGCAACAAAUAGGGAUUCAGAUUCUCACGCUGUGGAUCAGGACUCCGGGAGAAACUCCGACUACAGCAAGACCGGAGACAUGGAGACACCUGCAGAGGCCUGGGGUUGCUCCAAAAAUUUGAAGUCGCCCGGGAUACGCAGGAGGAGGCAAAACAGCUCUCAUCAGGGCCCCUCUUCUCAGAUGUCAAAUCAGUCCUUGCCGGUUUUAAAUGGCCAAAUGAAAAGAAACUCUCAACCAUCUGUCCAGGAGUCACACCGAGUGCUAAAGCUGGGCUCCCUGAAGAAUAACCAAGCGAUGUUCGCGGACAUGCACGGUAGAGUAUCUCCAGACCCCCAAACAUUGUCUGAAUCUGAGCUUUCGGAUCAUAACAUUUAUAACAGAGGGAAAACCCGAAGGACGGCCUCUAUUCAUAACAUGAAGGACAUAAACAAGGGCCAUGGAGCCACAUGGACCAGUAGUCCGCACACGUUACCCAAAGUGGAGAAUGCACUUUUUCCGAAACCAAGCGGACACAACGUGGCCUUGGAGGGUCUUUUGGUAAGGGCCAAAGAGAGAGAUGGAUUAAAAAGCAGAAAUGUGAAAAGGGCCAAUUCGGGGUUGCGAAAUCCUCCUCCCCCCUCGUUUUCCCCCGCACCAUCGCCGUCGCCCAGCGAUAGAGAAAGUUACAUGGGGUGGGAGGAGGAGGAGGUGGAGCUGUUUAGACACAGAGCGCUCACAGUGAGUAAAGGAUGGAAGGAGCAGCUGGUGGAUGGAGAUGAAGAUGACAAGAGGUUAGUUUGA
ensembl:lncRNA